GUCACCCCAGGCGGUCUGGCUGCCGGCUUACAUAGCGUGAAAGCCGGUGAUCUCUGGAGGAGGAGAGGAACCGACGGCGAGCAGACAUAUGGCUCAGUUCCUGGCCAGAAGGGCAAGAGGAAGUUGAAAACACUUUUGCAACCUGGUCACCCAUGGGUUGAACAUCGCAAAGCCCAAGUCAUCCCAGUUGAGAGUUGUAACGUUUGAAAGCUACAUAAAAUGCUUAAAAUGUUCUCUCCAAUGGCCACAUCUAAUCAGCUAUCACAACCAGCAGGAAGCAACCACCCCGAGCUUGGUGUACACCGCUGUUGCACGUUUCUCAAUAGAAGCAUUCCAGUUGCUAUUUCAGAGCAGCAGAAACCAGAAGACAGAUCCUUUCCCUGCUGCUCUGCAAAUCAGAGGAGAAAAGAGGAAAAUGGAAUGCAGUUCGAGUCCCGAAGUCAGCAGAUCCCCUCGGCCUAUAACAGGAAGGAGGUUGAGUAAGAGGCUGCUAUUUUUCCAUUGCCAUCUUUCAGAUCGCUAAUGGCUACAAGCAGGAGAAAGCACUUCCAUUUCCUGAAAGGAACGAGCAAUACAAUGUGCAGAGCUGGCAUGUUUAGAAACUUGUCCCCCACACACCCAAGAGGGCCUACAAUCGCCCUGGAAAGAAGGCACUUCAUUAUCAACAUCCGCACUGCUGCCAGCUGCGCUCACAACAGGGAACAGAUACCAAGCAUCUCCCACUGAUUCUAGCAUCGAGGCCAAGAAGCACGAUGAGGAUGCAUCCAACACGCCCUUGUAGCCAUUCAGUUAUCUACUGCAGUACUUUGUUUUGGCAAUGCCACGUUCUUGGCCUACAAGGCACAGCACAGGUCAGGCCCCUUCCUCUACACGGCUUUUAGUUGUCUAGCUUUCCUGCUCAGAUUGCCUGAAUCGCUAAUCAUGUCUCAGGCAGGUAGCCAGAGGAAAGCUACUCAGUUACGCUUCCUUCCUUCUGCAAAAGCACACCAAUUCAUUUGCUAAUCCACCACAGUAGGUUGCAGAUAGCCAUCUUCAUAGUCAUCUUCAUGCGUACGUUUCAGAAUUACCCUUUUGAACAAGAGCUUAAGCCGUUCUUCAUAGACUUUCUAUAGUGCCUAGACUGUGCACCUCUUCCCUUCCUCAGACGUCAGAAAACAAUCAGUGAACAUCUACGUUUCCUGUUUGAAAUCAUUUCUUUCCUACCUGCCCCCACCCCCCAAAUCACAAGAUACUCUUUGGGAGAUACUUUAAACAAAAGCAAAGAAUCAAAGUCAACCUUACUGCGUUUUCAGGAUAUGCUAAAAUGGUCCAAAUGCACUAAAAGGCCAGUGACCUCAUCUUCCUUGGGAGCACGUAUCUCAGGUAGAACUAUCAUAGACUGCAAGAGGCCAAGGGAACUGAGCAUCGUCCUCUGGAAAGGAGAGACUUCCUCAGUCAGACACUGAGUGUAUAAAUGGCAUUUCUUACCACUCCUUUCCCACUAGGUUGAUGGUUAGCUACCAACCCUUGGAAGGAAAAAAGAAAAAGAAACAACAAAGCGAAAUUUAAGUUAAAAAGAAAGGAAUGGAAAAGCUGUCCUCAAAACCUUGCAGGUCUUUAAACCAAUUAAUUCAGAAGAGAAGGAGAGCCGGAUAGCAGCUGCCUGCACACCCAAUAGUUAACAUGUGGGAACAGCAGCGGGAGCACGAAGGCAAUCAGCUCUUCAGCAUCUACCAACUCCAGUGCAAAGUGCAGGUGUAAUGCUGGUGGUUGAAGCGUACAGCACGCAGGUUGCUAUCUAGAGAACAAAACUACCCAACCUCUGUGUAGUGGAAUAUACUUUUUAUUUCUUAAAAAGGAAGGGUACUAACAGAAUUUAAUACAGUCAAAAUUUUACAUCUUAAACAAAAGCUUUUAUUUCUCUUAAAAACCAGUUAUGAGCAGAGAGGUGAGAGGAUUGAAACUACUCACAAAAUCCAAGCUGAAGACUUUUGAGAAUUCAAAUCUGUGGUUUAUACAAUUUAAAAAGUGUCAUAAAUGGAAAUAUAAAAUAAUACCAACUCUGCAACAGUGAAAUGCCCUUUCUUCAUUUGAUUGCUGUUUAAGCACCUUUAUUUUCCCCUAUCAGCUGCCAAGAGUGUGUAGGUUUAUGUACAACGUAAGUAGUUUGGGACAAAAGAUUCGUCUAUAAAUUAAAACCAUUUAUGGCAACAUAGCUUUAGCCAGCCACUACACAAUCUUUAUUAUUUCUUUUGUUUCUAUAGGAUCUCUCAGCCAGAAUGAUCUCAAAUACACCUCAUGGGCUGCUCUGAAAAGCAGCUACGUUUACAGGAAUUACUGAGACGACCUCUCGGAGUAGGCAUCCAAGAGCUGAUACAACUUAAUGCGUAGUAAAACUAAGGUUCCUUUGUGUCUCAUAUAAAUACUGUGCAAUCUGUCGUCCAUCCCAUUGAACGGCUGGGACAGACCAGUGUCACGUCUGAAGCCAAACAAAAUGUUUUUAUCCAAGAGGAAACCGAAUUUUAGGCCAAAUGUAGCGGACAGGAGUUCCCUCUGACUAUUCAGUUCAAACUGAAUGCCUUUGAAAAAGCCUCACAGGAACAGAAUUUUCUGAACACCCUGCACAUACGCUUAGCUAUUUUAUAGCCUAGAGACAUGGGUGGGGGGGAGGAAGAGAUCAUCUGUGCUCGCUACAAAAGAUGCUGUAGCUUUGCUGUUGAUGGAACACCACAGAAGCAGUUGAUACCAGACAAAGGCUGUUCCAGUACAGCAUCGAAGACAAAGAAGUUACGUUAUGGCUGGAGAGGCUGUUAUCACAGGCUGAUCUCCUAGCUGAACACCGACAGACCUCCUCACCUCAGGCCUCCAGGCCUUCACACCUCCUCAAAGCGUUGGCGUCUCCUAACGGACUGCUUGUGAUUAGAAUCGUUAAGGUUGGAAGGGACCUGUACAAUCACCUAGUCCAACCAUCAACCCAGCUUGCUCCACUGUUCCUCUUUUAACACAAGAUAGAACAGGCCGUGAAAGCUGAUGAGAGUUCCAGCUGUGCAGCAUCCAGCAAAACCUCAACUCGUUAAUUACUUUCCCCCUCCAAAACCAAGACAGGGUACCCGUGUCAUCUACGUACAUAACGCAUCUAAUAGAGAUGUAGGCUAUCUAGGUUACAAGUGAGCUUCAGUAACACUCACUGUUCCAUUGCAACUCGCUGCAGUCUGGCUGAAGGGUGGAGGCAGAUCUGUUCAAGCCAAGAGAGAAAACGGUUAAAAACCCUUUCGUUCUCCUCAAUCGCUAAGUGUUACGGAUCAUUUCACACUGCCACUUUCCAAAUGCUACUCACACACAGCAAAAUUAAUUGCUCAGCUAAUGGGGUAGGAAGAAUACAGUUACCGGUGCCAUGGGUGACUACCCUUAAAGAAAGAUUGGAAGAGAAUCAGUUCCCUCAAAUUCUCAGUUUCUCUGCUUAAGUAGCUCAUUUUUUAACACGUUUUGUCUCGAUAGAAAGCAUCACAACUAGACUAAGAUUCCACAACAUCAAUCUUGCUUUUGAUUUCUGUAGUUCUCUAGGAAAAAAAAAAAAAUAAAGUAGUCCCAAAUCAAGCUACAU